GAUGAACGCUAGCGGCAGGCUUAAUACAUGCAAGUCGAGGGGCAGCACGGUUAGCAAUAACUGGUGGCGACCGGCGCACGGGUGCGUAACACGUAUACAAUCUACCUUAAACAGGGGGAUAGCCUUUCGAAAGAGAGAUUAAUACCCCGUAAUAAAUUGAACGGCAUCGUUUGAUUUUGAAAGCUCCGGCGGUUUGAGAUGAGUAUGCGUCUGAUUAGCUAGUUGGUGAGGUAACGGCUCACCAAGGCGACGAUCAGUAGGGGAUCUGAGAGGACUAACCCCCACACUGGUACUGAGACACGGACCAGACUCCUACGGGAGGCAGCAGUAAGGAAUAUUGGUCAAUGGAGGCAACUCUGAACCAGCCAUGCCGCGUGCAGGAUGACGGCCCUAUGGGUUGUAAACUGUCUUUUAUACAAGAGAAAACCCUGGUACGUGUACCGAGUUGAUAGUAUUGUAAGAAUAGCAUCGGCUAACUUCGU
rnacentral:rRNA from 1 species